CCCCCCCCGAAACACAAGUACCAUGUUCUACAAAAUUUUGCUUUGAAUGCUCUAUGGCCAAAUUGGAAGAAACUUUAGGCCAGGGCCGAGGGAGCAGAUGGACGAGAUGACGCCUGGACGGGUCUGGGAUCUACGGCCCGGAUCUGCAGACGAUGAACUCCCUUAGGGCCUUCGGUGGCGGGAAGCUCCUCCUGCAGGUCACGGGCGAGGGCGUGGAGCUCCUGCAGCCGAAGAAGGACCUGGACGAUGGCUGGAACCACCCCUGAAGACGAGCAUUGGCCAAUUUUGCUUGAAGGCGUGUUUGUGUUUUUCGCAGAGCAUUCUACAUGGAUGAUGAAUAUAAUGCCUUCUGGAGAGAUGACUAAUAUAAAGUGUGGUUAUAAAUUACCGAGGUGGACCUCGAACCUGGCGAGGCCAGGCUCAACCUGGACAUCAACCCCAGCAACUCCAGCUCCGACUUCCGCCUCGGCCAGGGAGGAAGCCUUCGAGAGCCUCGGCGGCGCCCGGAGCAGA